rnacentral:lncRNA from 1 species
GAUUUUUGCCUGCACUCUUCCAGCUGCAGGAGGGAGAGUUGAUUCUCAUAAGCAAUGAGCAAUGUGCAGCAGAGUAUAUGCAUCCAUCUGGUGUACAGGACCCCAGUGAAUUUCAGGAUCACCUACUUUAUCAACUGGAUUCAAGAGAAGAAGCAGGCCAAUCCUGAUCCUGACAUCUCCUUGGCCCCUCCUCAGGAAAAGCUGCUGGCACUGACUGGCUUAAAUUCUCAGGGCACUGUUGAACCCCAGAUAUUCAUAGUCCUGCUAUCUUCUCAGAUCUUCCUGCUACAGCUUAUUUUGCUCAGGAAUCUGUAACAGGACCACUGCACCCCUGAGAAGCACAAGCUUCUUCCACACAAGGCUCCUGGCUGAGUUCUACACUAUCCUUCUGUGCUUCUAUCUCUGGGCUUGUCUGUCCAUCUGAGGCCAACUAUGUUCCAGAACAAAAUAAAAACAAAUGAAAACGGACCUGGCUCUUCUUUCUCACACAUCAUUGCCAUGCCUCACACCCCUCUGGGCAUUGAGCUGUAUGUUAUGAGGCAUUCUCCCCCUUCCCUGGGC